GCCUGCUUCGAGAUGAGGGCUCCCACCCACUUGAUGGGGUAAGGCUCCCAGUAGACGACUGGGUUGAUAGGCCGGAUGUGGAAGCCCUGUAAGGGGUGGAGCUGACCGGUACUAAUAGGCCGAGGGCUUGUCCUC
rfam:Streptomyces paucisporeus strain CGMCC 4.2025 genome assembly, contig: Ga0079900_156